AAUAGCCUUCCCUCCCUUAAAAUCCCCAAGUCCCAUCUGAUCUGGGAAGCUAAGCAGGGUCAGACCUGAUUGGAACCUGGAUGGGAGGCCGCCAAUCAAUCCCAGGGAGGUGCUAUUU
rnacentral:rRNA from 1 species